GAUGAACGCUGGCGGCGUGCUUAACACAUGCAAGUCGAGCGGUGCAACAGAGCUUGCUCUGUGGCUCAGCGGCGAACGGGUGAGUAACACGUGAGCAACCUGCCCCUAGCUCUGGGAUAAGUCCGGGAAACGGCGUCUAAUACUGGAUAGGACCUGCGAAGGCAUGGUCAGAUGUUGGAAAGUUUUUUUGGUAUGGGAUGGGCGCACGGCCUAACAGCUUGUUGGUGUGGGAAUCGCCCACCAAGGCGUGGACGGGUAGCCGGCCCGAGAGGGUGACCAGCCACACGGGGACUGAGACACGGACCAGACUCCUACGGGAGGCAGCAGUGGGGAAUAUUGCGCAAUGGGCGAAAGCCUGAUGCAGCAGCGCCGCGUGAGGGAUGACGGCUUUCGUGUUGGAAACCUCUUUAAGCAGAGAAGAAGCGAAAUUGACGGUACCUGCAGAAGAAGCGCCGGCUAACUACGUG
rnacentral:rRNA from 1 species